rnacentral:rRNA from 1 species
UGCGUAGGCGGUCUUUCAAGUCAGGAGUGAAAGGCUACGGCUCAACCGUAGUAAGCUCUUGAAACUGCAAGACUUGAGUGCAGGAGAGGAGAGUGGAAUUCCUAGUGUAGCGGUGAAAUGCGUAGAUAUUAGGAGGAACACCAGUUGCGAAGGCGGCUCUCUGGACUGUAACUGACGCUGAGGCACGAAAGCGUGGGGAGCAAACA